rnacentral:rRNA from 1 species
CAGUCGCCGCGGUAAAACGAAGGGUGCAAGCGUUAAUCGGAAUUACUGGGCGUAAAGCGCGCGUAGGUGGUUCAUUAAGUUGGAUGUGAAAGCCCUGGGCUCAACCUGGGAACUGCAUCCAAAACUGGUGAGCUAGAGUACGGUAGAGGGUAGUGGAAUUUCCUGUGUAGCGGUGAAAUGCGUAGAUAUAGGAAGGAACACCAGUGGCGAAGGCGACUACCUGGACUGAUACUGACACUGAGGUGCGAAAGCGUGGGGAGCAAACAGGAUUAGAUACCCCCGUAGUCCCUGUCUCUUAUAC